rnacentral:misc_RNA from 1 species
GAUGAAGAACGUAGCGAAUUGCGAUAAGUAAUGUGAAUUGCAGAAUUCAGUGAAUCAUCGAAUCUUUGGACGCAGCUUGCGCUCUCUGGUAUUCCGGAGAGCAUGCCUGUUUCAGUGUCAUGAAAUCUCAACCACUAGGGUUUCCUAAUGGAUUGGAUUUGGGCGUCUGCGAUCUCUGAUCGCUCGCCUUAAAAGAGUUAGCAAGUUUGACAUUAAUGUCUGGUGUAAUAAGUUUCACUGGGUCCAUUGUGUUGAAGCGUGCUUCUAAUCGUCCGCAAGGACAAUUACUUUGACUCUGGCCUGAAAUCAGGUAGGACUACCCGCUGAACUUAAGCAUAUCAAUAAGCGGAGGA